GAAUAUUAGUCAAUGAUCGAAAGAUUGAUCUAGUUACUUAGAAAGAUGAAUUAUCAAUAUACAUCUUUCAAGGAGGGACUAUGUUUUUCCUUGAAGGGAAUUUGAAUAAAGAUAAAAUUGAUUAAAAAUAAAAUCUAAAUUAUAGAAAAAAUAAUGAUAAUCUAUAAUAAUAGUCUUAACCAAAAAUAGUGCCAGCAGUUGCGGUUACACUAUGAAGGCUAACGUUAAUCAUUAAGGCUUAAAGGAUCCGUAGAACGAUAUAUAAUUUCCUAAUAAACUGAGAUUUUAACUUAAAGUUAAAAAAUGAGGAGGAAAUAAAUAAAAAUAUAUUAGAGUUUUAAGUAUGAUUAAAGAAUAAUUAUAGUAAAGAUGAAAUAAUUAUGAUAAUAAUUAGACUGUUAAAGGUGAAAACAUUAAUCAAAAAUAAAACUGACGUUGAGGGAUGAAGGCAUAAGUAGCAAAACGGAUUCGAUACCCGAUUAGUUUAUGCAGUAAACGAUGAAUACUUCUAUAAAUAAAAUUUGUAGUAAGUGAAAACGUAAGUAUUCCGCCUGGUGAGUAUAUUCGCAAGGAUGAAAUCCAAGACAAUAGACGGUUACAGAUAAAGGCAGUGGAUUGUGUUAU
rnacentral:rRNA from 1 species